rnacentral:rRNA from 1 species
GACGAACGCUGACGGUGUGCUUUAGGCAUGCAAGUCGAACGAGAAAGCCCUUCGGGGUGAGUAGAGUGGCGAACGGGUGAGUAACACGUGGGCAACCUGCCCCUCGCAGGGGGAUAACCGGAGGAAACUCCGGCUAAUACCCCGUAAGCUUUCAGGGUCGCAUGUCCCCGUAAGAAAAGGUAGCUUCGGCCAUCCGGCGAGGGAUGGGCCCGCGGUGCAUUAGCUAGUUGGUGGGGUAACGGCCCACCAAGGCGACGAUGCGUAGCUGGUCUGAGAGGAUGAUCAGCCACACUGGGACUGAGACACGGCCCAGACUCCUACGGGAGGCAGCAGCCAGGAAUCUUGGGCAAUGGGCGCAAGCCUGACCCAGCAACACCGUGUGGGCGAUGAAGGCCUUCGGGUCGUAAAGCCCUGUUGAUAGGGACGAAGGGCGAAGGGUUAAUAGCCCCUAGCCUGACGGUACCUUUCGAGGAAGCCCCGGCUAACUACGUGCCAGCAGCCGCGGUAAUACGUAGGGGGCGAGCGUUGUCCGGAAUUAUUGGGCGUAAAGAGCGUGUAGGCGGUUCGGUAAGUCUGCCGUGAAAACCUGAGGCUCAACCUCGGGCGUGCGGUGGAUACUGCCGGGCUAGAGGACGGUAGAGGCGAGUGGAAUUCCCGGUGUAGCGGUGAAAUGCGCAGAUAUCGGGAGGAACGCGCAGAUAUCGGGAGGAACACCAGUAGCGAAGGCGGCUCGCUGGGCCGUUCCUGACGCUGAGACGCGAAAGCUAGGGGAGCGAACAGGAUUAGAUACCCUGGUAGUCCUAGCCCGUAAACGAUGGACACUAGGUGUGGGGGGGGAGUCGAAUCCCUCUGUGCCGCAGUUAACGCGGUUUAGUGUCCCGCCUGGGGAGUACCGGACGCAAGACUAAAACUCAAAAGAACUUGGAACUGGGGGC